rnacentral:rRNA from 1 species
GACGAAGGGGGCUAGCGUUGUUCGGAAUUACUGGGCGUAAAGCGCGUGUAGGCUGUUCGGAAAGUCGGGUGUGAAAGCCCUGGGCUCAACCUAGGAAGUGCACUCGAAACUCCCGAACUGGAGUCCCGGAGAGGAAGGCGGAAUUCUCGGUGUAGAGGUGAAAUUCGUAGAUAUCGAGAGGAACAUCGGUGGCGAAGGCGGCCUUCUGGACGGUGACUGACGCUGAGACGCGAAAGCGUGGGGAGCGAACAGG